UAUCAAUGAUGAAAUCUAUCCCGAAGCUGACCACCUGAAGAAAAACAUACGGAUUCGGCUUCUGAGAU
ensembl:snoRNA SNORD50B small nucleolar RNA, C/D box 50B